rnacentral:rRNA from 1 species
AGCAGCCGCGGUAAUUCCAGCUCCAAUAGUGUAUAUUAAAGUUGUUGCAGUUAAAAAGCUCGUAGUUGAAUUUCGGGGUUAGUAGGUUGGUCAUGCCUCUGGUAUGUACUGGUCUCACUGAUUCCUCCUUCCUUAUGAACCGUAAUGCCAUUAAUUUGGUGUUGCGGGAAAUUUGGACUGUUACUUUGAAAAAAUUAGAGUGUUUAAAGCAAGCUAACGCUUGAAUACAUUAGCAUGGAAUAAUGAAAUAGGACGUUCGAUCUUAUUUUGUUGGUUUCUAGGAUUGACGUAAUGAUUAAUAGGGAUAGUUGGGGGCAUUAGUAUUCAAUUGUCAGGGGUGAAAUUCUUGGAUUUAUUGAAGACUAACUACUGCGAAAGCAUUUUGCCAAGGAUGUUUUCAUUAAUCAAGAACGAAAGUUAGGGGAUCGAAGACGAUCAGAUACCGUCGUAGUCUUAACCAUAAACUAUGCCGACUAGGGAUCGGAUGAUGUUAAUUUUUUAAUGACUCAUUCGGCGCCUU